rnacentral:rRNA from 1 species
CUUAACACAUGCAAGUCGAGGGGAAACGAUAUUGGAAGCUUGCUUCCGAUAGGCGUCGACCGGCGCACGGGUGAGUAACGCGUAUCCAACCUGCCCAUCACUUGGGAAUAACCUUGCGAAAGUAAGACUAAUACCGAAUGUGAUCGCUUUCUCGCAUGAGAGAGCGAUGAAAGAUGGCCUCUAUUUAUAAGCUAUCGCUAAAGGAUGGGCCUGCGUCUGAUUAGCUAGUUGGUGGGGUAACGGCCUACCAAGGCGACGAUCAGUAGCCGGUCUGAGAGGAUGAACGGCCACAUUGGAACUGAGACACGGUCCAGACUCCUACGGGAGGCAGCAGUGGGGAAUCUUCCGCAAUGGGCGAAAGCCUGACGGAGCAACGCCGCGUGAGUGAAGAAGGCCUUCGGGUCGUAAAGCUCUGUUGUCGGGGACGAAUGUAGUUACCAUCAACAACCGUAACUAAUGACGGUACCUGACGAGGAAGCCACGGCUAACUACGUG